UACAGAGGUCUCAAGCGUUGUUCGGAUUCAUUGGGCGUAAAGGGUGCGUAGGUGGCGCCGUAAGUCAGGUGUGAAAUUUCGGAGCUUAACUCCGAAACUGCAUUUGAUACUGCGGUGCUUGAGGACUGGAGAGGAGACUGGAAUUUACGGUGUAGCAGUGAAAUGCGUAGAGAUCGUAAGGAAGACCAGUGGCGAAAGGCGGGGUCUCUGGACAGUUCCUGACACUGAGGCAACGAAGGCCAGGGGGAGCAAACGGGG
rnacentral:rRNA from 1 species